GCACACUCGGCUUGCUGUUGCAAAAAUCUCCGCAAUGGAAAAUUGUACUCCAAUGCUCGCUCGUUAUGUCCGAGCCAGAGAUGGAAAUUUCAUCACCAAAAACGCCUGCUUAAGAGAUUUAAAGAAAGGAAAGGAGAAACCAAUGAAAGAAUAUGUUUUGCAUUAUAGUUUGGAAAAUUUAGAAACCAACAGUUCCGAAAUGCAUCGACUUACUGUUCAAGCUAGUGAUUCCGUUGAAGCGAUUAAACAGAUCGCUAAAAAAUUGAUGCUGCUUGAAGAAGAGUCAAAAGGUAAGAAAAAAGUUUGGUUGGUUGCUGUUGAGUGGCAAGGCGUAGAUGUAUUUCAUAUAACUGAUGAACAAGCUAAUUUUCUAAGGUGUAUUGUUGAUGAAGUUUACUGCUCUUAGAACCGGAAUUGGUUUAUAAAAAAUCUCUUAAGCGGACCGCAGGGUAUGCGGUGAGAAACUAGUCCCUCCGACUGAAAAUGUCGGAGAAAAAACUCAGCUGUAUCGGUGAAAACCCUAUCCAUAGAAAUAUGGAGGAUAAUACCGAGGCAACCUCUUUUUAGAGGAAGUCCGUAGAGACUAUACGCUGGGCCUGAAUGAAAAAUGUAAGAUGGGCGAGUGGAAACUUGCUCGCCCAAAAUUUUUCUUUCAGUGAUGAUAUAGUCCGAACUUUGCAGUAAUGCAAAGAGCGCAACAGAAAUGAUGCGCCCGCAACAUUUAAAAUUGAAAAUUUAGAAUUUAAAAUUUCAAUUUUGUUGCGCGCAACAAAAUUGUAGAUACCCUAGUAUUCCACGCCCUAAACGAUGCAGACUCGCUAUUGGAAGUAUCGACCCUUUCAGUGGCUAAGCUUACGCGUUAAGUCUGCCGCCUGGGAAGUACGGCCGCAAGGCUAAAACUCAAAGGAAUAGACGGGAGUUCGCACAAGCGGUGGUCCAUGUGGUUCAAUUCGACGACAACCGAGGAACCUCACCAGGGCUUGAAAUGCUGAAAAAAGUCGGGGGAAACCCCGAUGUACCACAAGGAUGUCAGCACGGGUGCUGCACGGUCCUCGUCAGUUCGUGGUGUAAACUGUUCCCUUAAGUGGGGUAACGAACGCAACCCCUAUCGUCUGUUACAAGUGUCAGACGAAACUGCUUCUGUAUAAGGAGAGGAAGGUGGGGAUGACGCGAGAUCAGCGUGGCCCUUUGAUGCCCUGGGCUACACACGUGGAACAAUGGAGCCGACAAUGCGUCGCAAAGCCGCAAGGCGGAGCCAAUCGCACCAAACGGCCCCUCAGUUCAGAUUGAGGUCUGCAACUCGACCUCAUGAAGAAGGAAUCGCUAGUAAACGCGGAUCAGCUAUGCCGCGUUGAAUACGUUCUCGAACUUUGUACUCACCGCCCGUCACGUCAAGAGAGCCGGGAGUAGCCGAAACUCGGGGUUACCCGAACUACGCUAAGCUCGGUGAUAGGGACGAAGUCGUAACAAGGCAUGCGUAGCGGAAGCUGUGCAUG
rnacentral:rRNA from 1 species